GAACCAACCCCUGCCAGAAGGGAGGGUUCUGAAUAUCACCCUAAUGAGGAAGGGUGGAGGUGCGGAGGAGACCGAGGAGGAAAGUGUCCUGCUCGUGCGCAGCUCUACCUCUCAGCAUCUAGCCAUGGCAGUUGCAGGCUGUGUCGGUGGUGAUAUAACAAUCAAACCACCCAGGAGGUGGAAUCGGCAUCCCUACAUGACCGCUCACUGGAUUGUGUGGGCGGCACUCAAUCAACCCACGACCCAGGAGGGUGGAUUGGGAACUGCCAGAGGUCCUCCGUUGGAUUGCGCAUGUGGAUUAACAACCAAAUGACCCAAGAGGGUGGAUUGGGAAUCCAUCAGCUGUGCUCCCCUGGCUUUGUGCAGGUGGAGUAUAAUCAACCAAACGGCCUCAGCAGGCGGAUUGGGAAUCCUUCAGAUGUGCUCCCCUGGAUUUGUGUAGGUGGAGCAUUAUCAACCAAACGGCCCCGUAGGGCGGAUUGGGAAUCCUUCAGAUGUGCUCCCCUGGAUCCGUGCAGGUGGAGCAUUAUCAACCAAACGGCCCCGUAGGGCGGAUUGGGAAUCCUUCAGAUGUGCUCCCCUGUAUUUGUGCAGGUGGAG